CCCCCCGACUCCGAGCGUUAACUUUUUGUUUGACGAAAAAGGGUCUGGUGUGAGCCUUGUAAGAAGCACACAUAUCCAGCAUGUCAUCUCCCGCCCCGCUCUUAAAAAUACCUACUCCUGGUGCCAACCGCAAACAAGCACCCCGUCUUAAAUUGGGGAUCCCAGGCUCUCCCAAGUUGAACAUUGCCAAUUCAAAUGGGGCUGGAACCAACCCUGCUCCGGAUGUCCCUCAGCUUUCUCAACCAAUCCCUGCUCGUCCAGCUCCUCCCCAGCUUAGAUUAGCCACACCGAAGGGAAGUAAAGGAACUCCACAAGAAGUGAGUUCUUUGAACAAUGGACGACCAUCUAUGCAGAUAGUGACAGGCGUUUCUGCGACAUCUUAUAAUGGCGACUAUGGCAACCGCUCAAGGUCAGGAAGCUUCAACACAUAUGAUGGCCGAGUCAGUGGACCCACAUCGGCUACCUCUUCGAACUAUUCCGCCUUAUCUUUUGCCAUUGGCUUGAGGCAACCUCCCGGAGGAACGCCUGAUCCCACUUCUGCCAUUAGUUCUGUAUACUCUGACCGGGGAGAUGGCGGCUUAUCAGUGGAAAGAGAUAACAGCAUGAACGGCUUGUUACCAGAUCUGGAGAAGCUGAGUUUGGAAAAAGGGCGGCCGUUGGAUGUGGAAGAUUUAGACGAUGAAGGCUGGCUGGCCGCUAGCUCUCAAAAGAAAAUCAUUGAGCUUGACAGCCUUGGUGAGGGAGCCGGCGGUGCCGUCACUCGUUGCAUGCUUAAAGGUGGAAAAACGGUGUUUGCUCUAAAGAUUAUCACCACAGACCCGAACCCAGACGUUAAGAAGCAGAUUGUUCGGGAAUUGAAUUUCAAUAAAGACUGUGCAUCGGAACAUAUUUGCCGGUAUUACGGCGCAUUUAUGGACAAAUCAACCAGCACCAUAUCGAUUGUUAUGGAAUUUUGCGAAGGGGGCAGUCUGGACAGCGUUUAUAGAGAGGUGAAGAAGCUUGGAGGACGGACGGGAGAGAAAGUUUUGGGUAAGGUAGCUGAAGGUGUACUAAACGGCCUUACCUACCUUCACGGGCGUAAAAUUAUCCAUCGAGAUAUCAAACCUUCUAAUAUCCUCUUAUGCCGUAAUGGCCAAGUCAAACUCUGUGACUUCGGUGUCAGUGGGGAAUUCGGCACCAAAGGCGAUGCUAACACCUUUAUUGGCACAUCUUACUACAUGGCCCCUGAAAGAAUCACGGGCCAAUCUUACACCAUCACAUCCGAUGUGUGGUCUCUUGGAGUAACGCUUCUCGAAGUUGCUCAACACCGGUUCCCCUUCCCUGCAGAUGGAACAGAAAUGCAACCACGUGCAGGUUUGAUAGACCUUCUAACAUACAUUGUUCGCCAGCCAAUCCCUCAGCUGAAGGAUGAGCCCGAUAAUGGCAUAAAAUGGAGCGAAAACUUUAAAUAUUUCAUCGAGUGUUGUUUGGAAAAGGAGCCACGAAGACGAGCAACACCGUGGCGCAUGGCGGAUCAUCCCUGGAUGCUAGAAAUGAAAAGCAAGAAGGUCAACAUGGCACAUUUUCUGAAACAGGUGUGGGGUUGGCAAGACUAGAGGUUUUGGACAACUACAAAGCGCUAACAGCAUGCAUACGCCAUUUUACCCCUCAUACUGUUCUUGUUAUUAUUAAGAUUCACCAAUAUUGUUCCAAUCUCUAACUUCGCUGUGAUCUACCGUCCAUCUUCUACCGCGCCCGAGAUCUCUCUGCUUUCUUCAAACCGUGAGUGACAUGCACCAAUGGUUAAUGAAUAAUUUAUUGUUAUUUUGCGGCUACUUAACCAUAUCUGUAUCUUGAUCUUCAGGUUUGUUAUGACUUUUUUGAAAUUCUUUUUACUCACCUCUGAUCAUUUCUUCACCUUUUAUUUUUGCAUUGUUUCCUUCACAAUUUUAAAUGUUUUUCCGCUUUUUAUGGACCCUGGAUGACAGGGAUCUUCGCUAAUACAUUUCAUUUAUUUUAUAUCGAACCUGUUUAGCGUUGGGUUGAUUGUUUGGAUUAUCCAUUUUGUAAUUCCCGUUUUUCGCUUUCUUUUUGUGAAUGAUUCGCCUCUGCCAUGGCCACCCCUUCAACACCCACCACACAAACAGCCGUUCAUUUCUGGUGUUCCUUUCCUUUUUUUUCUUCCUCUUUUAUACCUUGUGGUGGAUGACCAACAGGAUGACAAAACAAACCCAGCAUUUCUCUCCCAUAUCCUUUACUAAGAAGACCGGAGUUUUUAGGAUAUAUACAUAUAUAUAUAUAUAUAUACAUAAAUUUAUAAAUAUAUAAGUUUAUAAGUUACAUUGAUUAUUAUUAUCACCA
rnacentral:sRNA from 1 species